CUCUCGAGCUGCGAAUGUAAAAUCAGCUGUUUCUAGAUCCAAAAAAAGAGCAUCUUUUAUGCUUUGGGCAUUAGUGACUACGACAUUUUAGAUAAUAUGGCUUCUCCACAGGUCACAAAGUGCUGCUGGCUCCUGACCUCAGCCUGCCAAUUCAAAUGUGGUGAAGAAGAAACCUAAACCUUAGGUUUCUUAACUUAGGCUACAGCUGUUGCCACUUUUUCUGCCCCAACAGGCACAGAGGUGCCAAACCAUCAGAGGCAGCAUCCUGCGAGUGCUGGGUGAGUUAUGGGUCACCACAGGUGUCUGUCAGCACGGAUCUGCUGGAUUCCCUGACCUGUGCAGGUGAGCCUGCAGCCCUGAGCCCUGCUGCCCUCCCCGCUCUGGAUGUGCCAGGGAUAAAUUCUCGGAAAAUUAGCAGUGCCUGAGACUGGAGGCGAGACUUGCAAGCGGUUUGGCAGCCACAAGAGGGAGGCCGUGUUACUGGCAAGGAGAGGACGAAGUCAUUGGAGGUCAAAUUGUUGCUUCAGACCAAACUGCUUUUGGCUUUAUCCAACCCAAACUACCACACACGCUGAUGGCCACGCGGGGUUUUUACAAGACUGCUGAAAUCAGAACUUCUAGCUUCUGUUCAUGUCGAAAAAAAGGAGAGGAGGGAUGGGAUACCUGGAAUGUUGCACUACCUGCUGUGAUGUGCUGAGCAAGAACCACCUCUGGGGGCAGGUGUUUCCAGGGACUGAUGAGCUGGUAUUGUGAUCCACCUCUAUUUCUCCAUGCAAACUCUCUGAGCUCAUCAAGAAAUCUUAUCCACAUGCUAAAACCAGUUUUGGAUAAUCCCAAGACAUGACAAUGAUUCACCAAGAAUGAAUAAGUAAAUAAGGUGAGUGCAGACUCAGAGGCUCUGGAAGGUGUCCUUGCUGCUGAUUUUGUAACACCUCAAACUACAUAAGGAGUGUCAAAGACAAGUAAAUGUCAAGCCUCCUUUCAGCAAGCCUUGGCAGCCCAAUCAGGGUGAAUAAAUAGGACAAGCAGAGUUGAGCAGGCAGCACUAAAAACCAGCAAAAGCUCGUACUCCCAGUGUUUCAGAAGGUGGCAGAUUCUUUCCCAGCAUGAAUGCAAGCAUGAAAUCACUCCUCACAAACUUUUUGGACCUCGAGUAUUUCCAUGAGAUAAUAAAAGUGCCUCAGCAAAGAAGAGAUGAAAUAGUAUUCCCUGAAUGGGAUGGGAAGGAAGAACAGAAGAUAAAGUGAAAUGAGGAGGGCUGAAAGGGGUGAAAAGCAGUGCAAGGGCCCUGCAUUCCCUCAUCUCUGUGGAGUGAGCUAAGGGAACAAGCUGGAUCUCAUUUCUUUCCUGAGAAGUUUUCCCAAUGCCAAUGACCUCAAGCUGAAUGACUUUAUUCCACGGGAAUUCAGUUCUGUAAACAGGACCCUACUGAAAUCCAAACUGAGGAUUUCCCCCAUGAUUGCAGUUAAGGUCUCAUGGAUCUCUAUUGCUCUUGAACUGUUUCCCUAGUGCUUAUUUUUCCAUUCUAUAAGGAAAAUCACAGCUUUUGAAAGCAUUAUAUCUUCUAAACUGAUAGCCAACCUCUGGAAUAUUCUGAGCUGUGUGAAUUUCCAAGAUAUCAAAUCUAAAUAGAUGUUUUCAAAGUGUGUGUACUUUUUUGAAAGCCUUCACACUAAAUCUUCAGGCAGGAUGAUUAGAAAGUGUUUGUAAAAGACCAGAAUACAGAAAUAUUUCAGGAACCUAAUUGCCAGCCUCUUCAUGACACCAUGUAUUGCAGCAGGGAACUUGAUUAAAUACAGGGAACUGUAUUAAGUACAAUUUAUCCAACAGCAUAGGAGUACUGUAAGACAAAAGCAGCUAGUUCCCACUGCUACCUGAGAGUCCUGUGGAUGAUAUUUUUGAGGCAACUGGGGACAAGAGACUAUAAGAGUCUUCCAGCUAUUCCUAAGGACUGAUCACUCAAACUUUUGAUUAUCCUUUUCUUUUUUUACUGUCAAAUGUAGAUAGUUCAGGCACCCAAAGCAUGGCUGAUGAGAGAAAGGAUCCUUCAUGGUAGAAACUGCUGAUAAAAGGGGGUGUGCAGCAGGUGUGACUGAAUCUUUCAAAACAACCACAAUAUCCACAGUGUUACUAAACACUCCCAGUACUGUGGACACCUGUAAUUUCUGGAUGUCACUUCUCAGCAGAACUUACAAAUGAGAGAACUUGAUCUGAAAAGAGCAGAAACUGUUAUAAGAAUUAAAGAAAUUAUAUCUUCCCUGGAUAUUGUUGGAAUAGCAGUGGCUGUAAUCUCACUGAUCCCCAAUUUCACAGGGCAAAUGCUGACAUAACAUUUAGGGAGUGUUUGAGAGGAACACUGAAAAUUACGUGAUCAAAAGGCUGAGACAAAGAAACCAGCUAGUACAAAGAGACAGCUGUGGAAAAAAUAUGUGCCAUCUAAUCACACACACCAUCUCCUGCAAAAAAAGCCUUUGUAACUCAGUGUCUGGGCAUUCAGUUCAGCUCUUCUUUCUUUCACCUCUUCUGUAGAUGCUGCUAAAAUAUAAACUUUCCUGGUGAGCGGUGCUGUGGGCCCAGUGCAUCACCUGCAGCAUAUAGGAGUUAUUUUACCUGUAAGUUGCUCUCUAUUUUCCUGGUGGCAGCCCACACUGCACCUAACCUAGAGCUAUAGGCAGACAAAGAGACUGGCAGAACCUGCACUGGUGGCCAUCUAAAGCACAUGAAAAACACUCCAUUUGUGUGUAUUUCAUCUUCUGCAAAGCCACAUCUGCUGCUGGGCACACAGGACGUGUUAUACUCCUGUUCACCAGAUGAGCUGCCUGGAGUUGGUCUGAGCAUCAUCAUUGCCCUUCCAACCCCAAAUCUUAUUUUGUUCACCUGGUUGAUGUUAUAUAGUUUUCUUCUUCAGUAUUGUCAUAUUGUCUUGAUCACUUUAUGUUACUUCACACAGAUUUCGACUUUAUUUACACUUGCUUCUCCUGUAAAUUCUUUAAGAUUACUUCUGAUGACAAAAUGCUUCAUUAUAUGUCCAACUCUAAGUAUCAGAUAUCAUGGAGGGUUAAUCUCUUCAGAACAGGAUGCUGUGGCUUCCAUUCACAGAAAUAAUAGAAGCAGGUUUUCUGCAGCCCAGUACAUAAGAUUCUGGUUGAAAUUGGGUAAUUAGUGCACAAGAAAUUGGAAGGAAAAAGACUGACAGAGAGAGGAAGAGAGAAGUAAACCAAGUGAUUGCACAGGCUUCCUUUCUUUUGUAAACUCAAGGGAAAUUCUCUUCCCACUUGCAAGGCUGCAAACAGCAGUGGCACAAAGUGUGACAAAUGAGUGACACCACUUGCUGCAGGUGCAAUAUAAAAUCUACCUGAUGGAUGAGGUAACUGCCUGGCAGACCUUUUCCAGCUGAUCUGAUACUACAAUGUUCCAUAGUAUAUUGAAAAAAAAUUUAACCCCUUCAGCAUUUUCUCAGUUCUUUGAAAGGAUAUUGCCUCCUUUUGUCUCCGUGCCUUGCUGCACAAAAAAGCUGUUUGCAAGUUCAUAAGCCUUUCUGUGUUUCCUGUGUGGUUUGUAUACAAAAUGCAGGGCUCUGCUAGCACAAAACUGCCUUGCAGUUUGUAGCAAUUGUGUAGCAAGUGUAGAGAUAGACUAAGCUUCCUUCAGGCUGAGGGUUUGCUGCAUUUACCUUAUAACUUUGGACUACUACACCAAAUUCCUAUUUCCUUCAAAUGGAGAUUUAAUUUAUACCUGACCUGUGUCUAAGUAGCUCACUGGAGCAAUCAGUAAUCUAGAUGUAAAAUUGACCAUUGAGUUUAAAGACACAUAGCUGUAUUUUCACUGUUUUAUUUCAGAUACUGGCAGCUCUUCAAAUCUCUAAGAUUUCAGUCCUGAACUCGUCUUCUAAGUAUCCUGAAAAAUUGUAAAGAAAUUUGUUGUGCACCAGACCUCAAAACUAGAAAUGCUUUCUGUGUGUGUGAGGGCAGGUACAUUGUCUCACUGCUACUGAAUUUUUGUGAGGAGGUGCUCCUGAACUAAUUUGUUGGGAAAAUUAGUAAUUUCUUAAUUACUAUCUGCCUCUG